AACGAACGCUGGCGGCAGGCUUAACACAUGCAAGUCGAGCGCCCCGCAAGGGGAGCGGCAGACGGGUGAGUAACGCGUGGGAAUCUACCCAUCUCUACGGAAUAACGCGUGGAAACGUGUGCUAAUACCGCAUACGUCCUUCGGGAGAAAGAUUUAUCGGAGAUGGAUGAGCCCGCGUUGGAUUAGCUAGUUGGUGGGGUAAAGGCCUACCAAGGCGACGAUCCAUAGCUGGUCUGAGAGGAUGAUCAGCCACACUGGGACUGAGACACGGCCCAGACUCCUACGGGAGGCAGCAGUGGGGAAUAUUGGACAAUGGGCGCAAGCCUGAUCCAGCCAUGCCGCGUGAGUGAUGAAGGCCCUAGGGUUGUAAAGCUCUUUCACCGGUGAAGAUAAUGACGGUAACCGGAGAAGAAGCCCCGGCUAACUUCGUGCCAGCAGCCGCGGUAACAC
rnacentral:rRNA from 1 species